AUACGGAGGGUGCAAGCGUUAAUCGGAAUUACUGGGCGUAAAGCGUACGUAGGCGGUUCGUUAAGUUAGAUGUGAAAGCCCCGGGCUUAACCUGGGAACUGCAUUUAAAACUGGCGAAUUAGAGUUGAGUAGAGGGGAGUGGAAUUUCAGGUGUAGCGGUGAAAUGCGUAGAGAUCUGAAGGAACACCAGUGGCGAAGGCGACUCCCUGGACUCGAACUGACGCUGAGGUACGAAAGCGUGGGUAGCAAACGGGAUUAGAAACCCUAGUAGUCC
rnacentral:rRNA from 1 species